rnacentral:rRNA from 1 species
GACGAACCGUGCGAACGUUGUUCGGAUUCACUGGGCUUAAAGGGCGCGUAGGCGGGCCAUCAAGUCUGUGGUGAAAGCCCCCGGCUCAACCGGGGAAGUGCCGCGGAUACUGGUGGUCUCGAGGGGUGCAGGGGCAUGUGGAACUUCCGGUGGAGCGGUGAAAUGCGUAGAUAUCGGAAGGAACGCCGGUGGCGAAAGCGACGUGCUGGACACCUACUGACGCUGAGGCGCGAAAGCCAGGGGAGCAAACGGG